GACGAACGCUGGCGGCGUGCCUAACACAUGCAAGUCGAACGGAAAGGCCCUGCUUUUGUGGGGUGCUCGAGUGGCGAACGGGUGAGUAACACGUGUGUAACCUGCCCUUGACUUUGGGAUAACUUCAGGAAACUGGGGCUCAUAUCGGAGAGGAGCUCCUGCUGCAUGGUGGGGGUUGGAAAGUUUCGGCGGUUGGGGAUGGACUCGCGGCUUAUCAGCUUGUUGGUGGGGUAGUGGCUUACCAAGGCUUUGACGGGUAGCCGGCCUGAGAGGGUGACCGGCCACAUUGGGACUGAGAUACGGCCCAGACUCCUACGGGAGGCAGCAGUGGGGAAUAUUGCACAAUGGGCGGAAGCCUGAUGCAGCAACGCCGCGUGCGGGAUGACGGCCUUCGGGUUGUAAACCGCUUUCGCCUGUGACGAAGCGUGAGUGACGGUAAUGGGUAAAGAAGCACCGGCUAACUACGUG
rnacentral:rRNA from 1 species